rnacentral:misc_RNA from 1 species
AGAGAGAGAGAGAGAGAGAGGAUAGAACUGAUAAUGUACUCGGAGAGUAGGUUGGGGGAGACCCUCCCACCGAAUGACUUGUAUAUUUUUUUAUUUCGAAAUGAAUUGGAGUCUUUUAUGUUCAAUUUCUUGAUAAGAUCGGAAAUCAUCCAAACCAAACUGUUUGAGUACUUAAUUGAAUUAAACCUGAGAACGACUAUUAAUCGAAAGAUAUCAAAUUAUUCCAAGAGAUCGGAAAGACAUUACACGCAAACAUGAGAAUCGGACUGAGUCAUGACCAAAUACCGAAUGGAACUUUGGAAUAUUAGAAUUGCAAAGAUUUGACACUGACUUGAACUUUUAAGGUUGGAACCAUUAUUAGACCAGAUAAAAAUCUUAACUUUAUUUCGAGGAAUAUCUGGGGAAUUCAAGCGAGAAACCCGAUCACAACAUUAGUAGAAUGAAAUUUUGCGAUAUUUGUACAUAGAGAGAUCGGAAAAUUACAGUAGGCAAGAUUGGAUGGUCCGGAGACCCAAUGUUAACUCGAACUCAUCUUAUAAAGACCAAGAGAUCGGAAAGCAAUCUAACUUGAUCGUGAGAUCGAUUUGUUACAGGGAUUAGCGAUUGGUAAGUUCGGAAAAGCUAUCUGUGAUCGGGACAUCGGUCGAGAACUGAUAAUAAAGUUUCAAUUUUAAAAA